GUGGGGUGAUGGCCUACCAAGGCGACGACGGGUAGCCGGCCUGAGAGGGUGACCGGCCACACUGGGACUGAGACACGGCCCAGACUCCUACGGGAGGCAGCAGUGGGGAAUAUUGCACAAUGGGCGCAAGCCUGAUGCAGCGACGCCGCGUGAGGGAUGACGGCCUUCGGGUUGUAAACCUCUUUCAGUGGGGAGGAAGCCUUCCAUUGCGGGGGGUGACGGUACCUGCAGAAAAAGCACCGGCCAACUACGUGCCAGCACCCGCGGUAGUACGUAUGGUGCAAGCGUUGUCCGGAAUUAUUGGGCGUAAAGAGCUCGUAGGCGGUUUGUCACGUCGGUUGGGAAAGCCCGGGGCUCAACUCCGGGUUGGCAGUCCAUACGGGCAGGCUGGAAUACGGCAGGGGAGACUGGAAUUCCUGGUGUAGCGGUGAAAUGCGCAAAUAUCAGGAGGAACACCGGUGGCGAAGGCGGGUCUCUGGGCCGAUACUGACGCUGAUGAGCGAAAGCGUGGGGAGCGAACAGGAUUAGAUACCCUGGUAGUCCACGCCGUAAACGGUGGGCACUAGGUGUGGGCGGCAUUCCACGUCGUCCGUGCCGUAGCCUACGCAUUAGGUG
rnacentral:rRNA from 1 species